UACGUAGGGGGCAAGCGUUGUCCGGAAUUAUUGGGCGUAAAGAGCGUGUAGGCGGUCCGGUAAGUCAGCUGUGAAAGUCAAGGGCUCAACCCUUGAAUGCCGGUUGAUACUGUCGGGCUAGAGUCCGGAAGAGGCGAGUGGAAUUCCCGGUGUAGCGGUGAAAUGCGCAGAUAUCGGGAGGAACACCAAUGGCGAAGGCAGCUCGCUGGGACGAUACAGACGCUGAGACGCGAAAGCGUGGGGAGAAAACAGG
rnacentral:rRNA from 1 species